AGAGUUCGAUUCUGGCUCAGGAUGAACGCUGACAGAAUGCUUAACACAUGCAAGUCUACUUGAUCCUUCGGGUGAUGGUGGCGGACGGGUGAGUAACGCGUAAAGAACUUGCCCUGCAGUCUGGGACAACAUUUGGAAACGAAUGCUAAUACCGGAUAUUAUGUGAGUUUCGCAAUAUUAUGUGAGUUUCGCAUGAAAUUCAUAUGAAAGCUAUAUGCGCUGCAGGAGAGCUUUGCGUCCUAUUAGCUAGUUGGUGAGGUAACGGCUCACCAAGGCGAUGAUAGGUAGCCGGCCUGAGAGGGUGAACGGCCACAAGGGGACUGAGACACGGCCCUU
rnacentral:rRNA from 1 species